UGUGUUCUAAGUUGGUAAACAAAUAAUCU
rnacentral:piRNA from 1 species